UCCUAAUGAAAUAUAGCAAACAACAGGAAUUCUGCAGAUGCUGGAAAUUCAAGCAACGCACAUUAAAGUUGCUGGUGAACGCAGAACGUCCUGACGAAGGGUCUCGGCCCAAAACGUCGACUAUACCACUUUCGAGAGAUGCUGCCUGGCCUGCUGCGUUCACCAGCAACUUUAAUGAAAUAUAGCCGCUGUUUUGCCACCUUUAUAGCUGCAUCUGGUGAGUAAUAUUGGGACAUCACCAACACAUUAAUACACUAUGAGGAGUUGAUCAUGAGGUAUACACCUCCACCUCUGCUUUUGAGACUCAAAUGAUCUAUCUUGAUGGUGUGUUGUUUAUCAGAAUUGUAACAUCCGAGAUUCCGUAAAUCAAAGGGUGCACGCGUUUGUCCGUUUGAUACAGCAUCUUAACUCUGAGAUCGUCAAUGUUAUUUACCAGAGACUGUACAUUUGUCAGAAAGAUGGUUGGUACUGGGAGUCAAAAAAUCUUGUUUUUUUUUAAACGCACCAUCAGAACAGCAGUUUGACCCCUCUUUUGCCGGCGGCUUCUUAAAGGGACUGUGCUGGCCACAGUCGGGUCCAUUUCUGUCGGUUUUAAGCAGCGACAGAUCGUUCAAUCACACACAAAAAAAUCACUAUUGACUGUACGCAUCAUAGAAGCAGUUAUGGUGCUCAGCUGUAGCAGGCUAAACCGAGAAUAUAUGAUGUUUUCCAUCAUUUUCAAUGAGAGCUGCAGUUUGGAUUACCCGUGGUGUUGGCGCCUGAAAGUGCAAAAAAAAAGCCAGGUCUGUUAAAGAGUUGAGCAGCGACGAUAAGCCCACUAUUCAGAAAAUUUGGAAGUGGUACAAUAUCAUAAUUAUAUAUAAGGGGUCACCAGUUAAGAUACAAAGUAAAAUUCUUUCCUGAAACUUAAGUUGUUGGAAUUCUCUCGUUGAAAGGUGUGUUAACAGCCCUUUUAAGGUAAAUUAGUAAAUUAGGUUAUUAUUCAGAAUCAGGUUUAAUAUCACUGGCAUAUGUCAUGAAAUUUGUUAAUUUUACAGCAGCAGUACAAUGCAAUACAUGAUAAUAGAAAAAACUGAAUUACAGUAAGAAUUUUUGUGGCUUCCGUCGGUCGUGGUCGACCAUGGGUACUGCACCUCUCAUAGUCACUGGGGAGCGGCCUCACCGGGGCAGAGUUGAUAAGGAGAUCCGUCUGUUGCCCAUGCAGUGGGACCCCCCUCUCCAUGCUGAUGACAGGUCCAAAGGAACGACGGAAGUCGAUACCGUUUGGUGCCAGCAGCAUCGCAGGAGUUGCCGUGUCGAUGCUGGGUACAGCAGUCAGCCGCCUUCGGGACUCCGACUCCGGAUUUUUCCUCGGGGUUUAGUCCCAGAGCCUUUCCCGUGAGCGGGUAUAGCCGCAAGGCAGCGGAGGUUUGAAAUCGGAGUUUUCCCUCUCCUAGAUCCGUGGUUAACGAGCCCCAUCUGCCCGGAGCAACUGGUUUUAAGGCGCCAGUGACCCGCCUUCGCCCCUUCUCCUGUCAGUGAGAUCAGCUCCGCCGGGCAUAAGAACUGUGCCACCCGUGAAGGCCAGGAGUUGGACUUGGUUGUCAGAGGCUGUUUGAGACGCACGCCAUGAAGAGCAGUUGUUGAGCAGUGGGAGCUCGUUCCCACUACCACCCUUCGGCAACCUUUGGAGCCACAACUUUGGUGCCAUGUUCGCAUUCAAGAAAUCUGUCAGAGCUUGCUGAGAAAAGGAUCUGAAGGUCCACCUAAAAAUCACACUUUAUAACUUUUUGAUUUGUGUGCACCAAUGUGGGAAGAGGAAGAUAGAACGUGGACUGGCCAAGGGUGACAGCAAGAGGCCAAGAAAAAUGGACAAACUACCUUUCUUAAUCAGCUGAGUAGACCCUUCAAAUUUGCAGAUUGCAGUGGAUUUGUUGCCUAGACUUUGCGGCAGGAAGCCACCUCCACAAGCAGACUUCACUCGUCACUGACCUGUUAAAAAGGCUUCUUCUUGCCUUGUACAAUUCCACGGGAGGAAGUUACCAAAAGAAACUAGCCUGGUUCUCUGAGGCAAGGCUAGCCUCUUUCAUGGAACACGUUACUGUUCUAUAGAUCUCUGCCUGCAGAAAAAGAAUCUCGUGGUUGUACGUGGUAAGAUGUUUACUUAACCAUCAGCAUUAUCCGAAGUAAAGGACUGAUCUCCCAAAGUAAUUGAGGAAAACAAUCACAGGUGAUUUAAAAAAAAUGUGUACCUUUCCAGGCAAAUCAUAAGUAUUCUAUCACAUUCUUUAUUCAUGGCUUUAUGGGUUCAGGAGUUACAAGUCGACGCAGUCGGGUUGUUAAAGCAGAUGCUGGUGGCCAAUACAACAGAUCACCUUCGCCCAAAGAACCAUCUAAAAAGUGAGGAACAAGAAAACACACACUCCUGCAUCAGAAAAGUGCAUCAGCUAUAAGAUCCACAGCUACAACAGAAAUACUUUCCAAUUUUCAUCUCACCUGUAAUCAUCAGAUCGCCUGGAGAAGAUGCAACAUCCUAAAACAGAAAAAGUACAGAAAUAUUGUCUUGGGCUUUUCUCCCCCCACAGAAAAAUGCUAAAUAAGAAUUUUACAUUACAAAUUGUGCCAAACUAAUUUUCAUUCUUAUAUUAUAGCAUUACUGUUAAACAAGAAAUUAAAACAAUAUUGUAUGUACUUUGAUUAAAAAAUA